UACGGAGGGGGCUAGCGUUGUUCGGAAUUACUGGGCGUAAAGCGCACGUAGGCGGCUUUGCAAGUUAGAGGUGAAAGCCCGGGGCUCAACUCCGGAAUUGCCUUUAAAACUGCAUCGCUAGAAUUGUGGAGAGGUAAGUGGAACUCCGAGUGUAGAGGUGAAAUUCGUAGAUAUUGGGAAGAACACCGGUGGCGAAGGCGGCGACCUGGUCCUUUUACUGACGCUGAGGCGCGAAAGCGUGGGGAGCAAACAGG
rnacentral:rRNA from 1 species